UUGUGAGUCUUUUGGCUUUGGGCUUGUCUUGUUAGGAUUUUAAUUUUCUUCCUUCAUUUUUAUUUUCCAUGACUGCUACUAUGAGUCUUUUGGUUCGAGUCUUUUAGUUUUGGGCUUGUCUUGUGAGGAUUUUGCUUUUCUACUUUCAUCUUUAUUUUCCAUGACUGCUGCUCUGCUACUAUAUCAUUACUCUCGCCCUUUAUAAAUAAAAUAGGCAUACAAUCUUUUCUAAAACGUGUUUCUCCUUUGCGUUAAGAGUUACAGUCUGCACUUUCAGGGAGUUUAUAUUGUCUGAGUUUUGUGUUACAGUUUGCACUUUCAGGGAGUUUAUAUUGAGUUUAUAUUGUCCGAGUUUUGUGUUGAUUUUCCACGUUAUAGAAUUUACCUCUCACAGCCGUUUUUUAUGUAGGUGAGGGAGGCAUCAUUUUUGUUCAAAGCAUUACAUUACUGUUUGUGAUAAGAUUAUUUAUAAUGUGUGUUGUCUGCGUUUUCUGUUGAUUUUUUCUUGUGAAGCAGGAAAUGGCGAUUGAGCUGGUUAUGGAGUUUACCCUUGCUGUUUUUUGUUAUGUUGUUUACCUCUGCUCUAACAGCUCGAUCGGUUUUGAUGUAAAUGGAUGCCGUAUGUUUGUUCAAAGCAUAACAUUACCCUUUCUUUUUUUUUAAGGUUUCAUUACAUUACUUUUUGUUUUCUAGGGUUUGGCCAAUUUAUGGUUAAACGUAUUUUUUUUUUUUAUUGCAGGGUGCACUCCAUAUGGAAUGGAGAACCAGAUACUUCUAACAAUUUAUGAUUUUAUAUUAUAAAUUGUCUUUUAUAGUUUGUUGUCUUAUUAUAGAAUAUUAUAUUUGAAAGUUGUUUUGAGGGUAGGAUAGGAGAAAUUGAUUUGACUAAAUUUAGUGUUUUAACUUUUAAAUAUUUAAUAAAUUUAUAUUUUACUAUUACAAGUGAUAUUUAAUUAUGAGUUUUAUUUAUGAAAAUUAAAAAUAAUUUAAAAUCUAUGUUUUAUUUUUUAUUAAGUAAUAAUAAAUUUUAAUUUUAGUUAGAUGGCUAUAUGUAUACAAAUUUAAUAUGAAUCAAGUUUUGAGAUAAUGUUAUAUGAUAUAAAGACAUUAUAAAGAAACAUAAAGAAAAUGGAGAUAGAAGAUUGUUUGAGGCCGAAUAAAUGAUGAAGAGAUGGAACCAAGAUAUAAAAAGAUUUCAAAAAUAUGGAAGCAAAGAGAAUUGAAGAAGAUGAGAAUUUUUAAAUCUUCUAUAAACAUUUUUUUUAAUUUCUUUCAUAAUGUCUAUAUAUUAUGUAAUAUUUUUCUUGAAAUUUUGAUUAUAUUGAUUUUGUAUACAUUAUGGUUAUCUAACAAAAAUUUAAUAUUUUUUGUUACUAAUAAUUUUUAUUUAUUUGUUUUUUAAGUUGAUAAAUUAUGAUCAAUAUUUUCAUCAGUUUUUUCAUAGUAAAUUACAUGCUAAAAUACCAUUUGUUAUAGUUGAUAAUUUACAUUUGAUAUUAAUAUUCUUUUAAUUAGCUAUCAUGAUUAAAAGAAAAAUACAAUAUAAAUGAAAUACUACAAAAUGUGUUAGAAUUAUUGUAUUAAUAUAAUAAUUCAAUUGUCUAAUGUAAUUUUUAAAUAUAUUUAUUGAAUAAAAAAUUGUUUCUUAGUUUGAAGUGUCUUUAUGUAAACUUGAUAUUAUGUUGGUGCUUCUUAGUUUGAAUUGGCAUCAUAGAAACUUCAUAUUAUGUUGGAAUUUAAAAAAGCAUAUAAUUAAAGAUCAAGUAUGUAUGUUUUCUACACUAUAAUUAUUUUUUUAGAAGAUUAUAUAUUUGUACAUGAAAAUUUUAUCCAUCAGCUUAAAAUGCCCCUAUGGAAAUUUCGUAUUAUGUUGGUGCCCCUAUGGAAACUUCGUAUUAUGUAUUAUAAGAUUAUGCAUUUCUAAGUAGUCAUUUUUUUUUAUGAAAUUACAGGAGUUAUUAUAGAAAUAGUUUAACCUUUAGCUUGGAUUGUCUCUAUGGAAGUUUGGAAUUAUGUUGGUGCUUCAUGUUGAAUCUCAAAAGAGCAUAUUAUUGUAGAUCAGGGCUUAUUACAAAAAGUUUAUCCUUUUGCUUGAACGACCUCUAUGGAAGAUUGGAAUGCUGUUGGUGCUUUAUGUUAAAGCUAAAAAUAAAAAUAAAAAUCUUUGUAUGAUCUUGAAGGAGACGUUUAACCCUUCAUUUGAAGUGCCUCCAUGAAAACAUGGCAUUAUGUUAGUACUUUUUAGCUUGAAGUGGCUCUAUAGAAACUUCAUAUUUUGUUGGAGCUCAAAGGAACAUAUCUUGAUGCUUUGAGAGCUUUUUUGGUUGUUGACGAAUGUGUCAAUAAUAUUUAUCAUUUUUUUUAAA